rnacentral:rRNA from 1 species
UACAGAGGUCUCAAGCGUUGUUCGGAUUCAUUGGGCGUAAAGGGUGUGUAGGUGGCGCCGUAAGUCGGGUGUGAAAUUUCGGAGCUUAACUCCGAAACUGCAUUCGAUACUGCGGUGCUUGAGGACUGGAGAGGAGACUGGAAUUCAUGGUGUAGCAGUGAAAUGCGUAGAGAUCAUGAGGAAGACCAGUGGCGAAGGCGGGUCUCUGGACAGUUCUGACACUGAGACACGAAGGCCAGGGGAGCAAACGGG